GUGCUUGCUUUGGCAGCACAUAUACUAAAAUUGAAAUGAUACAAAGAUUAGCAUGGCCCCUGUGCAAAGAUGACAUGCAAAUUUAUGAAGCAUUCCAUAUUUUA